rnacentral:misc_RNA from 1 species
CGAGAGUGUCACCACUCCCAACCACUGUUUACCUACCCGUCCACCGUGCCUCGGCAGGCAGCCCUGUGGGACAGAGCCUCGCCCCCCCGCUGGGGGGUGCCUGCCGCUGGCCGACCAACAACUCUAGCUGUUUAGUACCAUCUGAGUCUUCCACAAAUGAACA